AGCCCACAACAAAAAUACCAGACUAUGAUGUGGACGGUGGACGAGACCUUGACAUUUUUGACAUCAAUGAAGAGGCUGGGUUGGAUCUUGUAGAGGGGGACAUUGUGCUCGAUAAGACGCAAACUCGUAACUCCAUAAUAGGGGAUCAGUACAGGUGGCCAAAGACGAUCCCAUACUACAUGGA